AUACGGAGGGUGCAAGCGUUACUCGGAAUCACUGGGCGUAAAGCGCGCGCAGGCGGCUAUUUAAGUUGGAUGUGAAAGCCUACGGCUCAACCGUAGAACUGCAUCCAAAACUGUCAAGCUAGAGUGUGGGAGAGGAAGAUGGUAUUAGUUGUGUAGGGGUAAAAUCCGUAGAGAUAACUAGGAAUACCAAAAGCGAAGGCAAUCUUCUGGAACACUACUGACGCUGAGGUGCGAAAGCGUGGGUAGCAAACGGGAUUAGAAACCCUAGUAGUCC
rnacentral:rRNA from 1 species